UAGUAUGCGUUGUCGAAGUCCUGA
rnacentral:siRNA from 1 species